UCACACCUUGCGGUGGCAGUCUCGCCAGAGUCCCCAGCAUAACCUGAUGGCAACUGACGACAAGGGUUGCGCUCGUUAUGGCACUUAAGCCGACACCUCACGGCACGAGCUGACGACAACCAUGCAGCACCUCGACAGAUGUCCCGAAGGACGUCACCAUCUCUGGAUCUCUUCAUCUGCCGUUCGAGCCCGGGUAAGGUUCCUCGCGUAUCAUCGAAUUAAACCACAUGUUCCUCCGCUUGUGCGGGCCCCCGUCAAUUCCUUUGAGUUUCAUUCUUGCGAACGUACUCCCCAGGUGGAUAACUUAUCGCUUUCGCUUGGCCACCGACUGUGUAUCGCCGACAGUUAGUUAUCAUCGUUUACAGUGUGGACUAC
rnacentral:misc_RNA from 1 species